UACGUAGGGGGCAAGCGUUGUCCGGAUUUAUUGGGCGUAAAGAGCGUGUAGGCGGUUAGGUAGGUCCGUUGUGAAAACUCGAGGCUCAACCUCGAGACGCCGAUGGAAACCAUCUGACUAGAGUCCGGAAGAGGAGAGUGGAAUUCCUGGUGUAGCGGUGAAAUGCGCAGAUAUCAGGAGGAACACCGGUGGCGAAGGCGGGUCUCUGGGCCGAUAUCGACGCUGAGGAGCGAAAGCAUGGGGAGCGAACAGG
rnacentral:rRNA from 1 species